rnacentral:rRNA from 1 species
CCUACGGGUGGCAGCAGUGGGGAAUAUUGCACAAUGGGCGCAAGCCUGAUGCAGCCAUGCCGCGUGUGUGAAGAAGGCCUUCGGGUUGUAAAGCACUUUCAGCGGGGAGGAAGGCGUUAAGGUUAAUAACCUUGGCGAUUGACGUUACCCGCAGAAGAAGCACCGGCUAACUCCGUGCCAGCAGCCGCGGUAAUACGGAGGGUGCAAGCGUGAAUCGGAAUUACUGAGCGUAAAGCGCACGCAGGCGGUCUGUCAAGUCGGAUGUGAAAUCCCCGGGCUCAACCUGGGAACUGCAUUCGAAACUGGCAGGCUAGAGUCUUGUAGAGGGGGGUAGAAUUCCAGGUGUAGCGGUGAAAUGCGUAGAGAUCUGGAGGAAUACCGGUGGCGAAGGCGGCCCCCUGGACAAAGACUGACGCUCAGGUGCGAAAGCGUGGGGAGCAAACAGGAUUAAUACCCCAGUAGUC